rnacentral:tRNA from 1 species
GAGGAUAUAGCUCGGAUGUAGAGUGCAUGCUUAGCAUGCACGGGGUCCUGGGUUCAAUCCCCAGUACCUCU